UAUUUCAAAGAGGUAUUUUUACAAAUUAAUUUUAGUGUUACAAGUAUGUCCAUGACAUGGCUUAAUCCCAUUCUUUACUAAAUUAAAGCAUACUUAUAGAUCUUAUUAUAUUGAUCUGUGAAGACUACUAACUCUAAAAAAACCAUUUCAAUGAAAUUUCAAUUUUGUGUUGUUCAGACAUAUAAAGGUCUUUGUGUUGAUUGAAUUCACAAACAUUACAUGUACAUUGAAAACUGAAAGAACUAUUAGUAUAUAUGUAUACAUGUAUGAGUAAUCUUCAUGGCCUAAAUUAUGGAACAUAACCAAAUAGUUUUUAGUGAGGCUAUAUAAAGUUUAGAACAGAAAGGUAGACAUUAAAAAAAUAGAAACUAGGACCUUUUUUUUAUAAUUGAAAGGCAGAUAUAUUAAGGUGUUUUAUGUAAGGGAUGUGACAAUAUAGAUGACACUAAGAUUGGACUGCAAAGAAUUGUACCACAUAUGUUUGGAUCACAUGAAAAUUGUAAAGAUGCUGACUGGUGGAGGUAUCAUCAAGAUCCAGAAAAAUGUAUGUAAGAUCUUUUAUACUGGUAAUGACAAUAUAUUAUUUUCUGUAUUGUCUUAUUUCUCAAAGAAAUAACAGAUAUAAGAAGAUGUGGUAUGAGUGCCAUUGACACAUCUCUUCCAUCCAAGUCACAUUUUGUAAAAAGAAACCAAUUAUACAUAUAUAUCAAUCCUAAAAUCCCAAAAAUUAAUUCUUUUAUACAAUGUAUGCAGAAUCUAACCGUGUAUUAAGUUUUUGGAAUUAUGGCAGGGUUUUUAAAUUGGUCAACAUUGAGGUCCAAUGGGUCAAAAAUUAAACUUUUGAUUUAAAAAAAAAGAAAUAUCUGGGGGUCUUUUAUAUGCUGAACAUAACCAUGUAUUUAGAUUUUUGAUUUUAGGUCAGACCUCUGUGGUCGUAUCAAGCUGCACCUUUUUUUUCUAAGAACUCCCCUUUUUUCUUAACACCUCCUGCCCCUUUUUUAUAAUUUCGGCCCAUUUACAUAAUUAUUGAGCAUAUAUACUAACACUAAAGUUUCAGGCUAAGUAUUUUGUGAAAAUUAAAAUUCGAUAAACUUUAUUUUCAUUUCAUUCAUUUCCAUUUCAGGUAUAAAAGUUUACCAAAUAAACUGCUCAAGUCUGAAGGAUUAAAGGUUGAAUUGAAUAAUUUAGUGCAAAGAAAUGAUUGGUAGGAGUAAAUCUUUAAAUGAUCUUGGAUCUACACAGUCAAAUGACAGCUUUAACCAGCUUGUAUCUGUAAAAGCACCCAAAUCAAGGAACCAAACAACAGUUUGCACUGGUUGGAUCAGUUAUAAUUAACAAUUUGUAUCUUAUAUACCGGUAUGGGAUUCACAUUUGCAUGGUUGCAGUUCCUGUACAGGUUAAUUACUUGAUCACUGAAGUAUCCAAAAGAAUCAAAUUUCAUAUCACACUAGAACAAAGGGAUAAAGCAGGGAAAAGACAUCAAAUCUCUUAUGGCCAACAACUCAAAAGACAAAGAUUAUUUGUUGGUGACCAUGUGCGCAAUGGAGUCAAUGGUGAAAGUUGGAAAGUUUAUUUUUUAUACAUUACUUUUAUUCUCAAAAGUUGUAAUAACCAGCAUGCCUUGCAAUAUUUUGCAUUUCCUCAGUAAUGGCAAGAGUAUGAGAAGGAUUUAAAAAAAAAACAUAAUACAAAUAUAAAUAAUGUGAAGCAACUAAUAUAAGAUUCAUGAUAUUGCUCAUUAUCUUCCAGAAUACUUUAAUAAUCUUUACCAUAUAAUGGCCAAAUAAAAUCUAUCAAAGAAUCUAUAACCAGAACUACAAAGAUUUUGUAGUCUUGCUUUAUGUAAACAUGCAUUUUAUUAUACAUGUACCCUAAAUAUUAAGGAGAGAUACAUAUUGAUGUGUAAGUUUGUUCAUCUGUACAUUUGUCUGUUUGUCCGUAAAAACAGUCCGUAAAAACAUGUUUUUAUGCUACAUAGCUAAAAAUAAAAAUGUGAGAAAAAAAAUCUGGCUAUUCUAUAAAAUUCCACAUAGUAUAAACAAUUUUUAAUAACACAGAGUUCAGAUUUUUUCUUUAUAUUUUAAAAGUGAAGGGAAAGUGAUGCAUGAUUCCUAUUUGAAAAAAGAUGUUAUUGUUACUUCACAGCUGGGUAAAGGGUUGAUGGACAAUACAAUUGCAGGAGAGUUUUGUCACAGUACUAGGUGCUGCAGCUAAAGAAAAUUGCAGAUUU